UUUUUUUUUUUUUUUUGGGCUACAGCUACUAUUGAAUUCUUAUGAGGGUAUUUAUGUAACCUCAGCCAGCCUCCUCCUAACACAUUCUCACAGCCACCAAAUAGCAAAAGGCCAUUACUUCAUUGAAAUCAUCCCCAGGUUCGUAAGCUAAAAAGUUCACGUGAAUUUCAAUAGAUUUUACUCAACCUUUUAUGGGUAUGAUGCUUUUGAAAUACAGAGCACAUGCUAAAUAAAAAUGAAAUAUUAGAGAAAAAGCUCUCAAAUGAAGGUCAAUCCCUCAAAGUAGUCAACUUUGAGGUCAAAAAUAAAAACCUGAAACAGUCAAUAUUCCUAAAAAUCCACUAUAUAUUUCUCAUCGAUUUCGUUCAUUGUAGGAAACAAAUGCAAUCAAUGAUAAAAACAAGAAGAAAAUCUAACAAUACAGAC
rnacentral:misc_RNA from 1 species